rnacentral:rRNA from 1 species
ACCUGCGGAGGUCAUUAAUGAUUGAAUCGUUGCCUUCUGUGCUGGCACYGCAAGUGCACGUCGGUGACUUUCAUCCAAUACCCUGUGAACCUUUGGCCUCUUGCUAGCUUUGGCCGGCAGAGGAAUUUACACACUCGCAUGUAAUGAAAUACUGUCGUGCGCAAGCACUAAUGUACAACUUUCAACAACGGAUCUCUUGGCUCUCGCAUCGAUGAAGAACGCAGCGAAAUGCGAUAAGUAAUGUGAAUUGCAGAAUUCAGUGAAUCAUCGAAUCUUUGAACGCACCUUGCACCCUUUGGCAUUCCGAAGGGUAUGCUCGUUUGAGUGUCAUUGUACUCUCACACUCGUAAUCUUCGAUCGCGAGCGGUGGACUUGGGUCUGCUGCUUACCCGCGGCUCACCUCAAAUCGAUUCGUGCACCUCUUGGUUGGACAUAGUACGGCGUGAUAAGUGUCUUCGCCGGCGCCUCAUUGGAGGGUGGCCGAUCGGGAGCUUGUGCUUCAAACCGUCCUCGGACAACAACUGACAACUUGACCUCAAAUCGAGUAGGACUACCCGCUGAACUUAAGCAUAUCAAUAAGCGGAGGA